UUUCCUCUUCUUGCACACAAUGUGAAAUGAGCUCAUUUAGAGUCCAUUUCUCCUUCAGACAGUUAUAACUGACCUUAAACUGAUUAAAGUGUGCAGGAAGAGAUAUCAAAAUAAUGUACACAAGCAAUUCCUCAGGUAAUACUAGCUUGAGUGACUUAAUUUUCGAAGCAAGAUGAGACAUUUCCAAAAUGUACUCCCUAAUGUUUCCCUUGCCCUUAU
rnacentral:lncRNA from 1 species